UACGAAGGGGGCUAGCGUUGUUCGGAUUUUACUGGGCGUAAAGCGCACGUAGGCGGAUCUUUAAGUCAGGGGUGAAAUCCCAAGGCUCAACCUUGGAACUGCCUUUGAUACUGGGGAUCUCGAGUCCGGAAGAGGUUGGUGGAACUGCGAGUGUAGAGGUGAAAUUCGUAGAUAUUCGCAAGAACACCAGUGGCGAAGGCGGCCAACUGGUCCGGUACUGACGCUGAGGUGCGAAAGCGUGGGGAGCAAACAGG
rnacentral:rRNA from 1 species